GGAAGGUGCAAGCGUUGCUCGGAAUCACUGGGCGUAAAGGGUGCGUAGGCGGCUUCUUAAGUCCGGUGUGAAAGCCCAGGGCUCAGCCCUGGAAGCGCACUAGAAACUGGGGAGCUUGAGUACCGGAGGGGAGAGUGGAAUUCCUGGUGUAGCGGUGAAAUGCGUAGAUAUCAGGAGGAAUACCGGUGGCGAAAGCGACUCUCUGGACGGUUACUGACGCUGAGGCACGAAAGCGUGGGGAGCAAACAGGAUUAGAUACCCUGGUAGUCCACGCCGUAAACGAUGGGCACUAGGUGUCGGGGGUAUCCACUCCCUCGGUGCCGCCGCUAACGCAUUAAGUGUCCCGCCUGGGAAGUACGGUCGCAAGAUUAAA
rnacentral:rRNA from 1 species